rnacentral:misc_RNA from 1 species
GGCCAAGUACAACCAGCUCCUCAGGAUCGAGGAAGAGCUUGGUGCUAGUGCAGUCUAUGCAGGUGCCAAGUUCAGGGCACCGGUUGAGCCUUACUAGAGGAAGUAGAUGACUGCUGAAUGUGUUUCAGGGCCUUUUGUUGGAAGAGAGUUUUACUUUGAGCAGUAAGUUUAAUAAUGAGAUAAUUUUGCAGUGUUGGUCCAUGUUUUGGACUGGUUAAUGAUGUAGGAUGCAUCUCUAAUCCGAGUGUAAAAGUUUGAAUAUGACAUCAGAGUUUGGUUGCCAUAUAUAAAUCUACCG